AUGCCGCGUGCAGGAUGAAGGCCCUCUGGGUUGCAAACUGCUUUUAUCUGGGACGAAAAAAGGGGAUUCUUCCUCACUUGACGGUACCAGAGGAAUAAGCACCGGCUAACUCCGUGCCAGCAGCCGCGGUAAUACGGAGGGUGCAAGCGUUGUCCGGAUUUACUGGGUUUAAAGGGUGCGUAGGUGGGUAGGUAAGUCAGUGGUGAAAUCUUCAAGCUUAACUUGGAAACUGCCAUUGAUACUAUUUAUCUUGAAUACUUUGGAGGUAAGCGGAAUAUGUCAUGUAGCGGUGAAAUGCUUAGAUAUGACAUAGAACACCAAUUGCGAAGGCAGCUUACUACAC
rnacentral:rRNA from 1 species